CCUACGGGUGGCAGCAGUGAGGAAUAUUGGUCAAUGGGCGUAAGCCUGAACCAGCCAAGUCGCGUGAGGGAUGAAGGUUCUAUGGAUCGUAAACCUCUUUUAUAAGGGAAUAAAGUGUGGGACGUGUCCUUUUUUGUAUGUACCUUAUGAAUAAGGAUCGGCUAACUCCGUGCCAGCAGCCGCGGUAAUACGGAGGAUCCGAGCGUUAUCCGGAUUUAUUGGGUUUAAAGGGUGCGUAGGCGGGCUUUUAAGUCAGCGGUGAAAGUCUGCGGCUCAACCAUAGAAUUGCAGUUGAGACUGGGAGGCUGGAGUACGUUUGAGGUAGGCGGAAUGCGUGGUGUAGCGGUGAAAUGCUUAGAUAUCACGCAGAACCCCGAUUGCGAAGGCAGCCUGCCAAGCUAUGACUGACGCUGAUGCACGAAAGCGUGGGGAUCAAACAGGAUUAGAUACCCCUGUAGUC
rnacentral:rRNA from 1 species